rnacentral:rRNA from 1 species
AGGGGCUCACCCAAGGGCUUCGACGGGUUAGCCGGCCUGAGAGGGUGACCGGCCCCCCUGGGGACUGAGACCCGGCCCCAGAUUCCUACGGGAGGCAGCAGUGGGGAAUAUUGCACAAUGGGCGCAAGCCUGAUGCAGCAACGCCGCGUGCGGGAUGACGGCCUUCGGGUUGUAAACCGCUUUUAGUAAGGAAGAAGGGGAGCUUGCUCCUUGACGGUACUUGCAGAAAAAGGACCGGCUAACUACGUGCCAGCAGCCGCGGUAAUACGUAGGGUCCGAGCGUUGUCCGGAAUUAUUGGGCGUAAAGAGCUCGUAGGCGGUUUGUCGCGUCUGCUGUGAAAUCCCGAGGCUCAACCUCGGGUCUGCAGUGGGUACGGGCAGACUGGAGUGCGGUAGGGGAGAAUGGAAUUCCUGGUGUAGCGGUGGAAUGCGCAGAUAUCAGGAGGAACACCGAUGGCGAAGGCAGUUCUCUGGGCCGUAACUGACGCUGAGGAGCGAAAGCGUGGGGAGCGAACAGGAUUAGAUACCCUGGUAGUCCACGCCGUAAACGUUGGGCGCUAGAUGUGGGGACCUUUCCACGGUUUCCGUGUCGUAGCUAACGCAUUAAGCGCCCCGCCUGGGGAGUACGGCCGCAAGGCUAAAACUCAAAGGAAUUGACGGGGGCCCGCACAAGCGGCGGAGCAUGCGGAUUAAUUCGAUGCAACGCGAAGAACCUUACCAAGGCUUGACAUAUACGAGAACGGGCCAGAAAUGGUCAACUCUUUGGACACUCGUAUACAGGUGGUGCAUGGUUGUCGUCAGCUCGUGUCGUGAGAUGUUGGGUUAAGUCCCGCAACGAGCGCAACCCUCGUCGCAUGUUGCCAGCACGUCAUGGUGGGAACUCAUGUGAGACUGCCGGGGUCAACUCGGAGGAAGGUGGGGAUGACGUCAAAUCAUCAUGCCCCUUAUGUCUUGGGCUUCACGCAUGCUACAAUGGCCGGUACAAAGGGCUGCGAUGUCGUAAGGCGGAGCGAAUCCCAAAAAGCCGGUCUCAGUUCGGAUUGAGGUCUGCAACUCGACCUCAUGAAGUCGGAGUCGCUAGUAAUCGCAGAUCAGCAACGCUGCGGUGAAUACGUUCCCGGGCCUUGUACACACCGCCCGUCAAGUCAUGAAAGUCGGUAACACCCGAAGCCGGUGGCCUAACCCUUGUGGAGGGAGCCGUCGAAGGUGGGAUCGGUGAUUAGGACUAA